CCCUGCUAUGGAAAAAGGAAAGGACAACACUGCAGCAACACAGUUCUCCAUAACCUCAGUUUCCAGAGCCAAUAGGAGGAGGAGAAUUUCAGGCAGCAAAAGCAACUAUAAAAGGUUACAGGAGCCCACCCACCAGUGAAGCUCGUGCUGAAGGCCUGUUUCCUAGGCUACAAACGAGGGACUAGUUCCUUAUUUACGCCUAGGGGAAAGUCCCCGGACCUAAGGCAGAGAGUGCCACGUGCGCCUGCACGUAGACUGUCCCUGCACCUCACGGUUAAUCCGCUAAGAAGCGAUUUCGCCGAGCGGCGUGUGGCAGGGAUGUCAUCCGUCAGCCGAAAUAGUUACACAGGCAGUGCGCUUCCGCGCACCAACCACACGGGGCUCAUUCUCAGCACGGCUGAUUUUAA